rnacentral:rRNA from 1 species
UGGGGAAUUUUGGACAAUGGGGGAAACCCUGAUCCAGCCAUCCCGCGUGUGCGAUGAAGGCCUUCGGGUUGUAAAGCACUUUUGGCAGGAAAGAAACGUCGCGGGUUAAUACCCCGCGAAACUGACGGUACCUGCAGAAUAAGCACCGGCUAACUACGUGCCAGCAGCCGCGGUAAUACGUAGGGUGCAAGCGUUAAUCGGAAUUACUGGGCGUAAAGCGUGCGCAGGCGGUUCGGAAAGAAAGAUGUGGAAUCCCAGAGCUUAACUUUGGAACUGCAUUUUUAACUACCGGGCUAGAGUGUGUCAGAGGGAGGUGGAAUUCCGCGUGUAGCAGUGAAAUGCGUAGAUAUGCGGAGGAACACCGAUGGCGAAGGCAGCCUCCUGGGAUAACACUGACGCUCAUGCACGAAAAGCGUGGGGAGCAAACAGGAUUAGAUACCCUGGUAGUCCACGCCCUAAACGAUGUCAACUAGCUGUUGGGGCCUUCGGGCCUUGGUAGCGCAGCUAACGCGUGAAGUUGACCGCCUGGGGAGUACGGUCGCAAGAUUAAAACUCAAAUGAAUUG